ensembl:lncRNA
UUUUUUACAGUUUUGUUGAAGUAGAGUUAAUUUACAAGGUCGUGAUGACUUCUGCUGUGCAACAAAGUGACUCCGUGAUACGUGUACACACAGCCAUUCUCUUUCCGAUUCUCUCCCCACACAGACUAUCACAGCAUGUCGGACAGAGUGGACUAUUACUAUUACAGAUCAUAAGUCCCAGGAUGGCCCCGUGUUAGGUAAAUUUCUGGCAACAACACUCUCAGAGUCUGAGAAGGCCACGACUUGCCAUGAAUAAAAGCGCAUCUGACUCUGUCCUGCACCCUCCCUGGGAUUCAUCACGACUUCGAGCAGAAGUAGCAGGUGUGGCCUCACGCAGGCUCAGGGACCCAGGGGCUGGGGGAGGGGGGCAGCCCUCACCUGGACACCUCCAGAGGUAGCUGGAGUCAGGACGGGCGCCCACUGUCCCAGAGCUGGGUCCCCAUGCACUAGUUCACUCUGGUCCUUUCUGGUCCCAAGGACCCACGGGGGCAAGAUGAGGCGCAGAGACCACUUCCAGACUUUGAGGCCAUGCGCCUGGUUGGAUGACAGGCCCAGAACAGGGAAGAAGCUGCCUGAAGUCUCAGGGCAGUGAGGGAGGGGGAGGGUCCAGCACCUCCGUCAUAAUGAGGCCCCCAGGCCUGGGCUCUGCAGCCACCGGGUCCACACAGUCCGCAAUCAACAGACUGGGCUUCCUGCCAGGAGGGUGGAGACCAGAGAACCCCGCGUUUUGCAGAGUGGUUCUGGGGUUCCCUGCCCUGCAUGUCAAGGCCCAGAGUUCAUAAUCCGAUUCCCCCGCUAGAGGGCGCAUGCGGACAGCGGUAGCUUCCUGAGCCCCGGGCUGGGGACACCCAGGCAGGCAGUGGAGGACCCGGGCAGGUCCCUGACCCUCUCUGGGCCUUGGUUUCCUCAUCUGUGGUGGAAGGUGUCCGAGUCUCCAUCUAGCUCUGACUCGAGAGGACCAUAAACCAAACUCUAUGGAGGGUUCUGCCUUAAUCUCCCGGGGUCAGGCGGGGGGGCCGGAGGGAGCUCCCCAGGACAUGGCCAGGAAGAGCCUUGUGCCCCAGGGUACUUGUCCCAACAGGCUGUUGGCUCCCAAGCUGAGGCUUUGGACAGCCUCGCCACGCACAUGGAAGAGUGUAUAUGACAAAUCGGACCUCAAAUGGCACUUCUGCCCAGUGCCACAGAAAAUAUCGGCUCCCAACAUGACCCGACCCUCGGCCCGAAAACACAUGCUGAGCCUGUGGCUCCCACCCCUGCUCCCAUGAUCCUCUAGACACAGUCGCCCCAAAUAGCGCAAUCCUUACACCAACCUCUGAAAUGUGAUUAUGCCCCACUUUACUGAGGAGAACCCGGGGCACAGAAAGGUUGAGCUUCCCACCCAAGGGCACACAGCAGCCAGUGGGAAAAUAAGGUCCGGUGAACAUUUCAAUCCCUGGAAUCGGCACCAGCAAGAAGCCCAAGGUCAGACAGCUGGCUCAGUUACCCCAACUGUAUCUUUUAGGCCCUGGACCUGGGGUGGGACAAACAGAUGCGGGCAUUGUCCCCAAGGGUACUCCUGGGGUCACAGGGCAGAGACCUUCAGCACGCGAGACCGUUAGUGCCUCCGUCUAGGAAGGGAAGCUGGGGUCACGGGUAUCUGUGAAAGGGGCUGCCGGUUGAGACGGAGGGGUCUGGGAUCCACGUGGCUGUGACCACGCAGCAGAUUCCAGCAGAGUGUCCCCAGUGGGCAAAGAGCCACCAGGGCGAAGUGUGCCCGGCCCCAGCCCUCGGGUAACCAGGUUGAUGCAAAGCCUCAAGCACACCGCCCCCACCACCAGGGAAGCCCAUUAUCAGCACUGCUUAGAGUCCAGUCUCUGUGGCAGAGGCAGUCAUCAAGUGCUGGGGUGAAUCCGAAGGUGUUAAUUGACUCUCAAGUGGGAGGGGCUUUCUCUGACACCCCUUGGGUCACAGAGCCUUUGAGGUUUCACUUGAGCUCUGUUGAAAAAAAAUGCAGAGAAUAGGACCCCCAGGAGAGCGGCAUGCAGGCCUGUCUGCCUGAAGGUCUGGGCACGUCAUGCCCAGCCCGGAGGCAUGGGGUGUGCCACCCAGGGCCAGGCCAGCGGGGGGCAGCUGCACAGAGGGGACCGCCGGCCUGGGCACCCUUGCAGGCAGACGUACCAUGGCAGAUGCUCACAGGCGACGUCUGAGGUUGUUGGGAAUGAGGUGUGAGCAGAAGCCUGGCCUUGGGACCCCUGGGGUGGGCGCAGGGCACUGGGCCGGCCACGGGAAGAGAGACCAACCCCAAGCCUGGGACCAGGCACAGCGUCUGGGGAGGAGUUUGUUAAACACCAGGAAGGUAAAUUGUUUAGAAAUGAAGCGUUUGGCCAAAUGGUUUUCUCUGGGAUUGUUUAAACCGACAGCCUGCCCCCCGGUGCUGCCAAAAUAAGCGAAAGCUGCCCUCGCUGGCCGGCCGGGCGGCUCGGACCUGCCCCGCCCCGCCCCGCUCUGCACACACUCAGGAAAGAGGGACGCAUGGCUAUGCCCGGGGGCCAAGUUCAGGGCAUGGGCGCAGCCUCCUGGCAGAGUGUCCUCCUCAAAACGGAAAAGCAGACCCGAGGGGUGGCCCAGGGCUACAGACACAACCCGUUCAGCAUCGCCCUCCCUGCCAACCUCCAUCCAGACCAAGCCACGGGGCACCGUCCCUGUGCCAGGCCCGCACUGACACCUGUGAGCAGACAGGCAGAAGAGCUGCCGAAACAGCCCCGCAAGCCAGGUGGGUUGCCCGCAGUGUGGGGGCCAGACGCCCGAGAUGAAGGUGCCGCUCUGAGGCUCUGGGGCGACGCCCCGCCUGGCCUCGGGCCAGCGCUCCCUGCCGCUCCUGGGCUUGCGGUCACCCCCUCCAAUCGCCACCUCCGUCUCGCCGCGCCCUCCUCCCCGUGCAUCGGCACCUGGGGGGGCCCCUGCACGAGGUGCCCGUCACGGGGGUUAGGGCCCGUCCUGAUCCAGCAGGACCGCCCGCUUAGCUGGGUUACUUCUGCAAAGACCCAAUUUCCAAAUUAGGGUCCAGGGGGUGGGACUUCAUGUCUUUUGAGGGGGACGCAAUUCAAACCCCAACAUGCGAGGAGCAGAGAGUGAGGGGACAGUUUCCAUAGAAAGACAGGUUCCAGGGCGGGACCUCCAGACAGAAGGCACAGCAAGGGGCUGACCGACCACCGCCCCUCUCCCUGGGGUGAGGUGUGCGUGUCUGCUCUCAGCUUGGGGACCCCUGAGAGUCUGAGUUGUCACACAGGCUGCGAGCAGAACGCCAGGGGAGCUCGGAGUCCAGCCCCAUGUGCAAGGAAGCCUCAUGCAAAUAGCAGACCGUGCCCACAGUGGGAGCCUGGCUACACAACCCACGCGGCCACCCCAGCCUGUGCCAGCAGGAAACUCACGAGAACGGCUGGCACGGGCUCCCGGGGGGGNNNNNNNNNNNNNNNNNNNNNNNNNNNNNNNUCCGCGGGGGGCCUGACGGCAGACGCCCCGGGCGUGGCAGGCUGGCCACCUCCCAAAGCCUCAGCUCCACCACUGCAGCACGAAAGCCAGCCCAGAUGGUGCCAAUACAGAGGUGUGCGAACACGAGGCUGUGUGUGGACACGGAAACCGGACGGUCCUACCACUGUCCCGGGUCACAAGACCUCCUGCUCAUGAUUUUCUUUCAACCACGUAAAAACCACUCCUAGCCUGUGGCUGCCCCCACAGACAGGGAGCCAUUUGGCCCGUGGGUGGGGGAUUGCUAACUCUUGUAUGGGAAAUGUGACUUUUUCCAACAUGAAAAGUCAAUUUCUUGUUGUUGUUGUUGUUGUUGUUGUUGUUUUUGGCUGCACCUGAGGCAUGUGGAAAUUCCCAGGCCAGGGAUCGAACUGGAGCCACAGCAGUGAGAACACUGGGUCCUUAACCUCUAGGCUACCAGGGAACUCCUAGAAAUAAAUUCUAAGGAUAAGGAAACGACAUCAGGAGGGAAGGCGGAUGGAGAGGAACCCUCCGUUUCUCUGCUCCACUUUCCUGUAAACCCAAAACGGCCCUAAAAAAUAAAGUCUGUUAAGUUUUUAACAGGAAAGUCAAGGCGUUCUCCUGGGGUGCGGCGGGUUAAGGAUCUGGGGGUGUCGCUGUAGCAGCCUGGGUCGCUGCUGUGGCUCGGGUUCAAUCCUUGGCCUGGGAGCUUUCACACGCCGCGGGAGCGGCCAAAAGAAGAAGAGAAAAAAAUGAAGUUAAAAGGUAUGUAAAUCAAAAAGAAAACUCCUCAGACCCCAACAGUAAACAGGUAAAGACCACAAGCAAAUUCGCAGAAGAAAAAAAUACACCACCAGCAACCACGAGAAACAGGCAACCUCUCGGUAACACGCUAGUGGCAGGGAGAGGCCACGGCCACCAGCUCCAUCAGAAGACUCUUUCAUGCUCAGCGUGGGGGCAGCAUGUCCCCACCUCCCAGGGGACUGUCCCGGGUGCUCGCUUCCUAGACGGCAACACGGCUCAGAGACCCUGCAACCCGGUAACUUCCCCUCUGAGAAGCCAGCCCAAGGCAGCAGCUAGAAAUGCACAUGGGCUCCUGCUCACAGAGGGUCCCCGAGGUUUUGUGAAAACGGCAAAACCCAAACCCUGUCGCUAAUCUCAAGAUUCAUAAAUGACAGGGCUGGGGUCCUGGUCCCUCCUUACAGGGCACCCCACAGCAGGCUCUGGAGAAGGGCAGAGGCAGGAAAAGCCGGCUUAGGGUAAGGGGGCAAGGCAGCCGUAUUUCUCUUUCUGACCUUGUCUGCAGAGCAGAAACAGACUCACAGACGUGGAGAGCAGACCUGUGGUUGCUGGGGCGGUGGAGGGGGAGUGGGAUGGACGGGGAGUUUGGGGCUGGUAGGUGCAAAGGACUAUAUUUAGAAUGGAUAAGCAGGAGUAACGAUCCUGACUCGUAUCCAUAAGGACAUGAGUUCCAUCCCUGGCCCUGCUCAGUGGGUUAAGGAUCCGGCGUGGCCGUGAGCCGUGGUGUAGGUCGCAGAUGCAGCUCAGAUCUGGCGUUGCCGUGGCUGUGGUGUAGGCUGGCGGCUACAAUUCUGAUUUAACCCCUAGUCUGGGCAUUUCCAUAUGCCAUGGUUGCGGCCCUAAAAGGACCAAAAAAAAAAGGGAUACGCAAUGAGGUCCUUCUCUAUAGCACAGGGAGCUACAUCCAAUCUCUCGUGAUAGAACACGACGGAAGACGGCAUGAGAAAAAGAAUGUGUGCAUGUGCGUGCCUGGGACACUGUGCUGCACAGCAGGAAGGGACACAACCUACAAAUCAGCUACACUUUCAUCCAAAACUUUUUCCAAAAAAAGGAAAGUCGGCUCUGAUGUUGCACUUACAACGAGAACAAAUCUCACAAACCGGGACGUGUGCUUCGACAAAAAGACAAGGAAGCACCUCAAGAGGUUAACAGCAGCGAUCUCCGGGUGGCAAAAUUAUGGGUGCUUUUUGUUUUUGCCUCUGUUUUUCUUUUUUAAUGAUGUUUCCCCUUCUCCAGUGAAGAUAAGUGUCACUUCAUCACAAGGGAAAAUGCAGGCUUCCGAAGACGGGUGCUGGGCUCAUCCUUAGGUGAGUCUGGGAGGAGGGGGGAUCUGGACCCUGGGGACCCCCGGGGUCCUUCUCCCUGGGUGACGGGGGGCUGGGGAGCACCCUAGGCCUCCAUCAAAUUGCCACGCACGGUGAUCUACUUGGCCUCCAGGUUCUGAGCCUUUUGGGAGGAAGAAGAGCAGCAGGAGGAAAGGAUGGAGCAGAAGCAGCCACAGCCCCCUGCGGCCCAGGAGGGCCCCGCGACAGUUACCCCGCGUGGGGACCUGGCUAAAAGGGCCUCAUGGUUAAUCCCCUCCCUCCACACCCCAACGUGGGAAAAGGGGCAAAAUAACAGCACAUCCAGGGCACGGACCAGCCAAAUCAACCCAGGUGAGAGAGGCAAGCCCCUGAGCUCCCAGCCUCCAACCCAGCAGGCCGGUGGCCAUCCCAUCCGUCCCUCACGGAACCAACCACAGCUUCAAGGUCACGACCCCCAGGGAAGGACCAGCCCCCACAAGGAUGCUCGCCCCCGAGGCCGGCACCACCCCCCGGACGGUUCUUCCUGCCAACUUCUUUUCAUGCUGAAGUCAGAAGCGAGACCAGCCUUCCCGCCGCCCUGAGGUGUCCUCAGCUGUGGUCCCAGCUCAAGGGGCUCCUUAGCCUGUCUCCCCCCUCGCAGCCCCCACAGGAGGCAGUGCCGACCUUGACCAUGACCCAGGCUGCAGCCACAGGGCCAGAGCCUGGUCCCAGCACAGGCCACUGUCGUCCACACGUCAGUUCCUAAGGUCAGAAACAGCUUCGUGGUCCGCAGGCAGCUGGCUUAUUUUGGUUCUUUAGCAAUUGAUUUUUUCCACCGCCCCCCUGGGGUAAGUGGUUGGACAAACACCGACCCCACAGCCCGGCACCCUGGCCCAGGAAACCACACGGAGUGACCACAGGGUCAAAAGCACAGAGGAAGUGGCUGGGCCGGGCGCUGGCUUGGCUGGAAACCUGAAGCCCAAGCAGCUGUCCACCCGCAGGGCCCGCCCCGGGCCGCCUGGCCAGCACUAGGGGAGGAGGCGGGGGGAGGGUGGGCUUACAGCCCCCCGGAACCGCCAGGCAGGCACCCCGCUUGGAGUCUGGGCCUGAGUGCACAGCUCUGAAAUGGGGUGACCCCUCUGCCCUGAAGCCGGGGGGUGGCCAGAGAGUGACAGGGUCAGUGCCAGGCUUGGGACCCCCCCCCCCCGGAGCCAGCCCCCUCCUGCCCUGUCCCCA